rnacentral:snRNA from 1 species
AUCGCUUCUCGGCCUUUUGGCUAAGAUCAAAGUGUAGUAUCUGUUCUUAUCAGCUUAAUAUCUAGCUUAAGAUCAAGAUGGAGACGAAGCUAAGCGUGAUGGAGAGGACUCUUA